AAAUGGGUAGAAACUUCAAAGACUGCUAUUUACACCUCUCUUACUUUUGGUAUUACACAAACAUUAAAGCAAUAUUUAAAAACUUAUAAAAAUGUAUUUCACUCAGAAUCCAACCAUCCCAGAAAUUUACAGCUUUUUGUCUAUUUCCUUUCAUUUCUAAUCCACAUGCAUACACAAUUUUAUAUAUUAUAAUUAUAAUUGUGUGUUUUGAUUUUGUACUCAAUACCAAAUUGUAAACACUUUAACAUAUUUGUUAUUUUAUGUGUCCUUAUAAUGAUUGUUUACUUAACUCUUUUCUUAUCUUAGAUAUUUAGGUGUUCAUGCAUAUUUAUGUACAUUUCAAUUUAAAUACCUGUAUUUAUCAAACAUUUUUGUCCUUAUCUUGGAUCUUUUUCUCUUGCAGAGAAAGUAGAAUUCUGGCUUAAGUGUUAGUUUCUAAAUAUUCAGAGUAUACUAGAUAUGAGGCUAUGGAAAAGCUUCUAUAUUUUCUAAGUCUGACUCUCAUAAAAUAAAAAAUGGAGGGAGUUCCCAGCGUGGUACAGCAUGGUACAGCAUGGUUAAGAAUCCAACUGUAGUGGCUCCAGUCACUGAGGAGGUGCAAGUUUGAUCCCUCACCUGUGAACUUCCAUAUUGCUGCGGGUAUGGACAUAAAAUUAAAAAAAAUGAAAAAUGGAAAUAAAAAUAGGAUUUAUAUUAUACAAUUUUUAAAAGGAUUAAAUGCAAAGAUGUAUAAGAAUAUGCGGAGUGUCUGGGAAAAUUCCUAGAAAUUAAACUAUCAAGGCAAAGAACAUGACUACACAUAUUCUUUCCAAAACUGUCGCACAAGUUGUUAACUUCCAGAAUAUUCAGCUGCCAGCCAAAAAGAUAAAAACCAGUCUUCAAUACCUUCAACAAAAAAACAAAAAGCUGAACUGAUUGCUGACUUGAGGAAGGCAAGGAUACAUUGGCGAGACCGAGGGUCUCAAAGCAAAGACUGCUAUUAUACAGAGGUUGGAAGCAGAGUGGAAUUCAGUGAUUAGCAGAUUUUCAAGUAAAUGUAUGCAUGUCAUUUGUAGAAACAUGGCUCCCCAGGUGGGAAUGUCACUGACUGACUUUCAGAAGUGUGUUUUUCAGAGUGAGUCCUUUUCUGAUCACUGACUUUCAGAAGUUAGACUGUUACUAACUGGUUGAUUUGCAAAUGCAUGUUUGCUGAAACUUUACAUGAAAUCAGUUUUGAUGAUUUCUAGAAUUGUCAUUGACUGAGUAAGCAGGUAUACAACCAGAUCUGGUGACUACUUGCUAUCACAACUAUAGAAAAGAUAGUCAUUCCUAAGAGUGUAGGAAUAUUUUAUUCUCAAGCUCUAUUUCGAAUAGCCAUGUGAGUAAAUUCUUUCUUGGGGAAAAUGAUGAAGAAUGCCAAGAAGGGCUCUCCAUAAGGAAGACUAGGAAACAACUAGUAAUUUGCUUUUAAUGCAGUCUUUUAAUUGACAAAACUAUAUCAGUAUCGAACAGUGAAAUUAAAUGUGGAAUGUUACUCCCAUAGAAAAGAGAGUGAAACUAAGAUUAUUAAAAGGUAAGUAUAUUUUAUGUAAGUUAAUAAAGUUGUCAAAGAAUAUUUGAUUCCUACUUCAUUAUUUAAAAAAAUUUAAAAUUUUACAUUUUGGUGGAAUCAUAAAUGCCAUCUUUUUAUUAAACUUUUUAGUUUAUGGAUCUGUUUUCCUCUAAAUUUAUACUUACCUAGAGUAUCUGAUUAUUUUCGUUGUUUGGUUUUGGUUAUUUGCAUCUUUUCUCUCUCCCUCCUUUUAAUAUAUAUCAUGUUCUUCCCUGCUUGUAUUUUAUUCUAGAAUGACUUCCAAUCUUCUCCCAGGGAGUUGUCCCUGCCAGUUUCAAAAUCUUUUUUGGUUUUCUUCCUCCUGAAUUUGUGUUCUCCUCCAUAGUCAGCAAUUAUGAAUACUUCCUUUUUUGUAAACGGAAUUCAGUUUCUGAAAUAUUGGCUUCUUUUGUUUCUAUUUCUACUCCUUCUGUUAAUCUAUCAUGUACAAAUAACUCUCCUCUCUUCCUUUGAUUUAACUUUCCAAAUGAACUAUUAUUUCUCUUUCCCUUUUGAGAACCAUGUUAAUUAGAUAGGUCCAGGUUAACCCACUGCAGAUAAUGUUCAUAUCUUCCAUCUGUCACUCUACUACAGCUCAUUCCUGCACCAUCAGUAGAUGAUCCAUCCCAGCUUGACCUCAUAAAUAGAGUUUGUAUUCUAAGAUCAGACAAAAUGACAAGUGAUUCCCAUUUCUUCCAUCUACUGGCUGAUGUGACCUUAUGUGGGUAAUUUAAGCUCUAUGUGUCUCACUUUCUUUAACUGUAAAGUGUGAAUUCUAGCACAAAGGACAGUUAAGAAGACGCAAUGAAAGCUUAUACAGGAAACACCUAGCACACAUUCUCUAUGCUGGAGAAACUACAUAAAUGAUCUAUCUUAUUUGUGUUUAUUUCUUAUUAUCACUUACCAAAUUGACUUUUUCUCAGCAUUGCAUAACCAAAAGACACAUGGAGCCUAAUGUCAAAAGCCCAGUGUCUUUGUCUGUCAGGAUGUUAGGUAGGUAAAUUUCUCUAAUUUUACUCAUUUGGGAGUAGUAAUAAUUCCUUCUCUAUCUUAAUUUCAUUGUGAAAAUGGCAAAUUAAAAUGUGAUAAUGAUUACAAAAGUACUCGUAAUCAUUAUAGUAACAGUAACUGCUGGCAUUUUUUAGUUUGGCAUCAUCUACGUGCAAGACAUUAUUGACACUUAAUAUACGUGAUCUCAAUCUUUAUAAUUACUCUACCUAUCGGCGAGUUAAUAUUAUUCCUAACAUUUAUGUGAAGGAAAUGCAGCUCAGAAAGAUGAAGUAGAAGGGCCAAAGGUACAUAGCUAGGAGGGGGUAGAGCUAGAAUUGAGGUGCUCUAAAUCUCCACACCAGUGUGUGAGAGAGGGGAGAGAGAAGGAAGGAAGGAAAGAAGGGAGGGAAAGAAGAAAGGAAGGAAAGAAGGGAAAAAAAAACUCCUACAAAGAUGGUGCUUCUUCCAGGAAUGUGUGUGUAAAAUCUUCAGAGGGAAAGUCGUCCUUAGCUCGCAUGUUCUCUCCUACCCCUUUCUGCUGUCAGAGCAGGUGCACCUCUGUCCUCCCCAGAGCGGUUAAGCCUCUCUCAUGUCUCUCCCCCAGACAGGCCUAAAAAUUAUUCCACAGUCUUUGGGCAUUAUUCUUGCUUGCCUAAAGUUCUGAAACUUUAAAAAUGCUCACUCAAUCAAGCAGAAAAAUAUUUACACCAGCUCUUGUGAUUUUCUGAAGAUCCAAGACUUACUGAAAAUUAUCAAUUGCACACAAUGAGUUAUAAUUCUUCGAGGCAUUUGAAGGCAGUGUUCUCUGCUUCUGCUUCCAACUAGAAGUUUGAAUGUGGUCCAUAUAUACAUAUGUUCAUAAUUUCAGUCUACACUUGAACUCAUAGCAUUUGAUAUUAUAAAGAUACAUUUGAUCUAAAUAAAUUCCAUGGAGGCAGAGGCAAUGCUAUCUCUGCAUUAAUUUUCUGGUAGGGCUUAGUGCAUGACCAGGCAGACAAUGAGAAAUAUAAAUUGAUGAUUGAAACGAGAACGAACAACCAUGUAAAUAAUAUUAAAUAACUGAGCAGGGAAUUUAGAUCUAAGCGUCAAGGCUUAUUAACCUAAAUAAUAAUUCAUAAAAACUGAUUUAUGAAGUUUCAGAUUAUUAUUUAGCCUGAGAGGCAAUAAUUUCUCUUUUUAAAAAACUGCUUUUUCUUUAGAUAAUAUAAAGGACUUUUUUUGUUUUGUUUUGUUUUUUGUCUUUUUAGGGCUGCACCUGUGACAUAUGGAAGUUCCCAGGCUAGGGGUUGAAUCUGAGCUGUAGCUGCAGGCCUACACCACAGCCACAGCAAUGCAGAUUCCUAGCCAAAUCUGCGACCUAUAUCACAGCUCACAGAAAUGCCAGAUCAUUGACCUACUGAGCAAGGCUAAGGAUCGAAUCCACAUCCUCAUGGAUGCUAGUCAUAUUCGUUACCACUGAUCCACUCCUGUAAAGGAGUUCUUGAGGCAAAUUUAAAAUCAAUAAAUUUAAAAAGUGACAGACUCAACUGCACAAUCCAAAAUUUCAGAAUAACAAAACAGAUACUAUGAACAAAUAAAUUUAUUUGAUUUGAAAAUUUAGGAAUUAUAUUUGUAAAAAUUAUAUUUAAAAAAGGCUUAAUUUUAUAAAAUGUAAAGUGUCAACAAAUUAAUUACAAAAAGAAACAACACAAAAAAGAGGGAAAUAAAUAUAAAUAGUCAUUUCAUAAAAGGCGAGAUAAAAAUGACCUACGAAAAAGGAAAUAAUGCCCAAUCUUACUAAAUAAUAAACAGGGAAAAUGCAAUUUGUGGUUUUAUGGGAUUUUGUUUAUUAGCAUAACUUUUUUUUUUUUUUUUUACAGUCUCACCUGUGGCAUAUGGAAGUUCCUGGGCUAGGGGUUGAAUUGGAGCUGCAGCUGGGGGCCUACACUACAGCCACAGCAAUGCUAGAUCCAAGCCACAUCUGUAACCUACUCCACAUAUUGUGGCAACACCGGAUCCUUAACUCACUGAAAAAGACCAGGGAUCGAACCAGCAUCAUCAUGGAGACUAUGUGGACUCCUAACCUGCUGAGCAACAAGAAAACUUGUAGCAUAAUUUUAAAUGGAUUAUAACAUCCAUUGUUAUUAAGGGUUGGUAGACAAUUGAUUUUAAAUGGAAAUAAGGUGAGAUUUUCUGGACAUACUAUCACAAUGGAAUUUUUAAAACUUAAAGAACAUAUAUGCAACUAUGGAUACUACAUAGUUAAAGGUUUUCAGAGAAUAUUUAUUGAUGAUUAUCCAAUAAUUAAUAAAUAAUAAUUUGUUUGGAUUUUUGAACCUUUUGUUAAAUAAGCCUUUGUUGUUAUAUAUUUUUAAAAAUCAUACUAAUAGGGCAAAGGUUUGGCUGGAUUCAAGUCUUUUUAGUAAAUUAGAUACCAAUU
rnacentral:lncRNA from 1 species